UACGUAGGGGGGCAAGCGUUGUCCGGAAUUAUUGGGCGUAAAGAGCGUGUAGGCGGUCCGGUAAGUCAGCUGUGAAAGUCAAGGGCUCAACCCUUGAAAGCCGGUUGAUACUGUCGGGCUAGAGUCCGGAAGAGGCGAGUGGAAUUCCCGGUGUAGCGGUGAAAUGCGCAGAUAUCGGGAGGAACACCAAUGGCGAAGGCAGCUCGCUGGGACGGUACUGACGCUGAGACGCGAAAGCGUGGGGAGCAACAGG
rnacentral:rRNA from 1 species